rnacentral:rRNA from 1 species
UACAGAGGGUGCGAGCGUUGUCCGGAAUCACUGGGCGUAAAGGGCGCGUAGGCGGCCACCGCAAGUCGGUUGUGAAAUCUCCGGGCUUAACCCGGAAAGGUCAAUCGAUACUGCGGGGCUAGAGUGCAGAAGGGGCAACUGGAAUUCUCGGUGUAGCGGUGAAAUGCGUAGAUAUCGAGAGGAACACCUGCGGCGAAGGCGGGUUGCUGGGCUGACACUGACGCUGAAGCGCGAAAGCGUGGGUAGCAAACAGG